UAAGACAGAGGAGGCAAGCGUUGUCCGGAAUUACUGGGCGUAAAGCGCACGCAGGCGGUGCGGGACGUGCGGGGUGAAAUCUUCCGGCUUACCUGGAAGGCUGCCUUGCACACGACCGCACUCGAGCUACGAAGAGGUCGAUGGAAUUGCCGGUGUAGUGGUGAAAUGCGUAGAGAUCGGCAGGAACACCCAGGGAGAAAUCAGUCGACUGGUCGUAUGCUGACGCUCAGGUGCGAAAGCGUGGGGAGCGAACUGGAUUAGAUACCCAGGUAGUCCACGCGGUAAACGAUGCACGCUCGGCAUCUGGUGGCUAUCAACGCCGCUGGGUGCCUCAGCUAACGCGGGAAGCGUGCCGCCUGGGAACUACGAGCGCAAGCUUA
rnacentral:rRNA from 1 species